GAGGAAGUAAAAGUCGUAACAAGGUCUCCGUAGGUGAACCUGCGGAGGGAUCAUUACCGAGUGAGGGCGCCCGCCGCCCGACCUCCCAACCCUUUGAUUUGAUCAAGACCUCCUUCUGCCUCGGGGGCGACCCGGACCUCGCGGUCCGCCGGUCCCCCCGGUGGUCACCAACCAAAACCCUGCAUCAAUUGUCGUCUGAGCGUUUGAAGCGAAUUCAAUCAAAACUUUCAACAACGGAUCUCUUGGUUCUGGCAUCGAUGAAGAACGCAGCGAAAUGCGAUAAGUAAUGUGAAUUGCAGAAUUCAGUGAAUCAUCGAAUCUUUGAACGCACAUUGCGCCCUUUGGCAUUCCGAAGGGCAUGCCUGUUCGAGCGUCAUUACACCAAUCACGCCUGGCGUGGUAUUGGGCGACGGGGCCGUCACACGCCCCGCGCCCCAAUGACCUCCGGCGGGACGGACCGAAUCUCAGCGUUGUGGUCAAAAGCCGCUGGCGAGACGGGACGGCCGUGCCCUUAAACAACACCCAUCGCAGCUGACAUCG
rnacentral:rRNA from 1 species